rnacentral:rRNA from 1 species
AGAGUUUGAUCAUGGCUCAGGACGAACGCUGGCGGUGUGCUUCACACAUGCAAGUCGAACGAGGUAGCAAUACCUAGUGGCGGACGGGUGAGUAACGCGUGGGAAUCUGCCUUUGGAUGGGGGAUAACGGGUCGAAAGACUCGCUAAUACCGCAUAUGACGAAAGUUGAAAGGAGUAAUCCGUCUAAAGAUGAGCCCGCGUCCGAUUAGCUAGUUGGUAGAGUAAAAGCCUACCAAGGCGACGAUCGGUAGCUGGUCUGAGAGGAUGAUCAGCCACAAUGGGACUGAGACACGGCCCAUACUCCUACGGGAGGCAGCAGUGGGGAAUUUUACGCAAUGGGCGAAAGCCUGACGUAGCGACACCGCGUGAGCGAAGAAGCCCCUUGGGGUGUAAAGCUCUGUCAGCUGGAACGAAAAAAAUGACGGUACCAGCAGAGGAAGCAUCGGCUAACUACGUGCCAGCAGCCGCGGUAAGACGUAGGAUGCAAGCGUUGUCCGGAUUUAUUGGGCGUAAAGAGUUCGUAGGUGGUUUGUUAAGUUUGGUGUUAAAGAUUGGGGCUCAACCCUGAAACUGCACUGAAUACUGGCAGACUCGAGUGUGGUAGAGGCUAGUGGAAUUCCCAGUGUAGCGGUGAAAUGCGUAGAUAUUGGGAAGAACACCGGUGGCGUAGGCGACUAGCUGGGCCAUAACUGACACUGAGGAACGAAAGCCAGGGGAGCGAAUGGGAUUAGAUACCCCAGUAGUCCUGGCCGUAAACGAU